AUUGAACGCUGGCGGCAUGCUUUACACAUGCAAGCCGAACGGUAACAGGGUGCUUGCACCGCUGACGAGUGGCGAACGGGUGAGUAAUGCGUCGGAACGUGCCGAGUAGUGGGGGAUAACGCAGCGAAAGUUGUGCUAAUACCGCAUACGUACUGAGGUAGAAAGUGGGGGACCUUCGGGCCUCACGCUAUUCGAGCGGCCGACGUCUGAUUAGCUAGUAGGUGAGGUAAAGGCUCACCUAGGCGACGAUCAGUAGCGGGUCUGAGAGGAUGAUCCGCCACACUGGGACUGAGAAACGGCCCAGACGCCUACGGGGGGCAGCAGUGGGGAAUUUUGGACAAUGGGCGAAAGCCUGAUCCAGCCAUGCCGCGUGUCUGAAGAAGGCCUUCGGGUUGUAAAGGACUUUUGUCGGGGAGGAAAUCCCCAGCGUUAAUACCGCUGGGGGAUGACAGUACCUAAAGAAUAAGCACCGGCUAACUACGUGCCAGCAGCCGCCGUAAAAC
rnacentral:rRNA from 1 species